rnacentral:lncRNA from 10 species
UGGAUAUGCAGGAUAUCUGGGUAAAAAAAAAUAUGUAUACAUUAUUUGAGGCAUCUCUUAAAUGUAUACAAAGACAAAUACUCUAAGGCUGCCAUUGUUUAGAAGUCUCAAUCAUAUUAAGGAAAACACUAGAAUAAAAAUUAAUAAAUGUAGUGACACUGGAGUCUGAUAAACCUGUAUUUGAAUGACCCUGAGCAACCUUAUUUUUGUUCUUUUUCAUUGACUCUAAAAUGUAGAUGGUAAUGCUUACCUUAUAAGGUUACUGUGAGGACUUAGUGAAAUAAUACAUGGAAAGUGCCUAACCUAGGAUCAGAAUCAAGGUCAGUCCUCCUUCCCUCAAAUGUUAGCUUCCUUUUCUACCUUUUUUUCUCUUCACUUCCCUUAGUAUCUAUAAAAAGUAGGAAAGAAGAGGAUACUUUUUUUUUUCAUAUUCCUACAAGGCUGUUUUAAGUAAUGUUCUUUUAGUUGAAUGACAGUCACAUCAUUUGAGAGGUUAGUCUAAUAAUAGCACUGGAGACUUGAGGAUGACAAAGUGCGAAUUUUCAGUUGGGUCUGGACUCCAAUUUAUUUAUUUAUUUGUUUAUAAUCAACAUGGAUUUAUUUGCACCUGACCACUUUUGACAGAAUUAAAAGGAGAAAUUGUAGACUUCUACAAUUACAUUCACAGAUUUGUGCACUACUGUCUCAGAAACUUAGGAAGCAAAAAAAAAAAAAAAAAAAUUUAUAGAGAAUGUAGUAUUACACUAAUGAGAU